CCUACGGGGGGCAGCAGUGAGGAAUAUUGGUCAAUGGACGAGAGUCUGAACCAGCCAAGUAGCGUGAAGGAUGACUGCCCUAUGGGUUGUAAACUUCUUUUAUAUGGGAAUAAAACGUUCCACGUGUGGGAUUUUGUAUGUACCAUAUGAAUAAGGAUCGGCUAACUCCGUGCCAGCAGCUGCGGUAAUACGGAGGGUCCGAGCGUUAUCCGGAUUUAUUGGGUUUAAAGGGAGCGUAGGUGGAUUGUUAAGUCAGUUGUGAAAGUUUGCGGCUCAACCGUAAAAUUGCAGUUGAAACUGGCAGUCUUGAGUACAGUAGAGGUGGGCGGAAUUCGUGGUGUAGCGGUGAAAUGCUUAGAUAUCACGAAGAACUCCGAUUGCGAAGGCAGUUCACUGGACUGCAACUGACACUGAGGCUCGAAAGUGUGGGUAUCAAACAGGAUUAGAUACCCUAGUAGUC
rnacentral:rRNA from 1 species